rnacentral:rRNA from 1 species
GACAGAGGAUGCAAGCGUUAUCCGGAAUGAUUGGGCGUAAAGCGUCUGUAGGUGGCUUUUUAAGUCCGCCGUCAAAUCCCAGGGCUCAACCCUGGACAGGCGGUGGAAACUACCAAGCUGGAGUGACGGUAGGGGCAGAGGGAAUUUCCGGUUGGAGCGGGUGAAAUGCGUAGAGAUCGGAAAGAACACCAACGGCGAAAGCACUCUGCUGGCCGACACUGACACUGAGAGACGAAAGCUAGGGGAGCGAAUGGG